ACUUGGAAUUUUAACGUACCAGCGCGCGUCGCUGUUUUCUCAGCGUGGCAAUUUAAAUUGCACGUCAACGUUCGAAAUUUAUUUAAACGCCCGGCUCCGAUAACACGUACUAGUGGUAUUAUUCUACGAUAAUUGUCGUCGCGGCACGUAGGAAACGCUCAAAAGUAUCCAAUAUACCCAGAGCGAAAACAUUAUUUUAAUCAUUUUAACUCGUGAAAAUCUUUUUUACAGUAUUAUAACACCGUUUAUUAUACCAAAAACAUGAAGAAAAUCAAAAUUCAACAAUAUUUAAAUCCACUGGUCUCAACUCAUCUCCAACAAAAAUACCACGUAGGAUAAAGCAAAUGAUAACUUUUUCGUUGUUAAUUUACCUAUACUGAGCAUAUUUUUAUAACGUGAAAUAUUUUUUGCUUGUUUGUAAACAUUUACAGUGAAUAUUUACAUGAAAAAUGAGAAAAAUAAUUUUAAAAAGGUCAUAUAUAAAUAUCCUACCAUAAAAAUAACGCUAAAUAAAGACAAUUUAAUUAA